GACGAACGCUGGCGGCGUGCUUAACACAUGCAAGUCGAACGGAAAGGCCCUGCUUGCAGGGUACUCGAGUGGCGAACGGGUGAGUAACACGUGGGUGAUCUGCCCUUCACUUCGGGAUAAGCCUGGGAAACUGGGUCUAAUACCGGAUAGGAGCCAUUUUUAGUGUGAUGGUUGGAAAGUUUUUUCGGUGUAGGAUGAGCUCGCGGCCUAUCAGCUUGUUGGUGGGGUAAUGGCCUACCAAGGCGGCGACGGGUAGCCGGCCUGAGAGGGUGGACGGCCACAUUGGGACUGAGAUACGGCCCAGACUCCUACGGGAGGCAGCAGUGGGGAAUAUUGCACAAGGGGCGCAAGCCUGAUGCAGCGACGCCGCGUGGGGGAUGACGGCCUUCGGGUUGUAAACUCCUUUCGCUAGGGACGAAGCUUUUUGUGACGGUACCUAGAUAAGAAGCACCGGCUAACUACGUG
rnacentral:rRNA from 1 species